AACGAACGCUGGCGGCAUGCCUAACACAUGCAAGUCGAACGAGACCUUCGGGUCUAGUGGCGCACGGGUGCGUAACGCGUGGGAACCUGCCCUUAGGUUCGGAAUAACUCCCCGAAAGGGGUGCUAAUACCGGAUAAUGUCUUCGGACCAAAGAUUUAUCGCCUUUGGAUGGGCCCGCGUUGGAUUAGCUAGUUGGUAGGGUAAAAGCCUACCAAGGCGACGAUCCAUAGCUGGUCUGAGAGGAUGAUCAGCCACACUGGGACUGAGACACGGCCCAGGCUCCUACGGGAGGCAGCAGUGGGGAAUAUUGGACAAUGGGCGAAAGCCUGAUCCAGCAAUGCCGCGUGAGUGAUGAAGGCCUUAGGGUUGUAAAGCUCUUUUACCCGGGAUGAUAAUGACAGUACCGGGAGAAUAAGCUCCGGCUAACUCCGUGC
rnacentral:rRNA from 1 species